CCUACGGGAGGCUGCAGUGGGGAAUAUUGGGCAAUGGGCGCAAGCCUGACCCAGCAACGCCGCGUGAAGGAAGAAGGCUUUCGGGUUGUAAACUUCUUUUGUCAGGGACGAAGCAAGUGACGGUACCUGACGAAUAAGCCACGGCUAACUACGUGCCAGCAGCCGCGGUAAUACGUAGGUGGCAAGCGUUAUCCGGAUUUACUGGGUGUAAAGGGCGUGUAGGCGGGGAAGCAAGUCAGAUGUGAAAACCACGGGCUCAACCUGUGGCCUGCAUUUGAAACUGUUUUUCUUGAGUGCUGGAGAGGCAAUCGGAAUUCCGUGUGUAGCGGUGAAAUGCGUAGAUAUACGGAGGAACACCAGUGGCGAAGGCGGUCUGCUGGACAGCAACUGACGCUGAGGCGCGAAAGCGUGGGGAGCAAACAGGAUUAGAUACCCUGUAGUC
rnacentral:rRNA from 1 species